UACGAAGGGGGCUAGCGUUGUUCGGAAUUACUGGGCGUAAAGCGCGCGCAGGCGGUUCUCCAAGUCAGUGGUGAAAGCCCGGAGCUCAACUCCGGAAUUGCCAUUGAAACUGUUGAACUCGAGGACGAGAGAGGUGAGUGGAAUUCCCAGUGUAGAGGUGAAAUUCGUAGAUAUUGGGAAGAACACCGGUGGCGAAGGCGGCUCACUGGCUCGUUUCUGACGCUCAGGCGCGACGGCGUGGGGAUCAAACAGG
rnacentral:rRNA from 1 species